GCUUCAUAUCACAAAUAUGUUCUUCUAUCUGAUUAUAUAUUCUCCAGGUGAGUUAUCAUAAUUUUUAUUAAUUUUAUUUUCCAGUUUUAAGCUAUAUAUUAUAUACCUUAAAAUUUAUACAUUUGUAGUAACCUCUGAUGGUGGAUCCGUGUUAUAAUGAUAAUAUUUUGACUGUACAUGCCUCUUGUUUUCAACACAAGUACAUAAAAAGUUCUGGCUAGCUAUAAUGGUUCAGUUUCAGUAUCCUAUGCUUCUAUUGUUGAAAAAUGUUUCCUCAUCAUUGGAUCUGAAUUGCACAUGAUAGUUUUCAGGAUCUUGUCUCUAUAAUCCAUAUAUAGGAUCUGUUGUCCUUUUUCACUAUGGUCUCUUAGGGUUUCAUAGCCAACCUCUUAGACUUAUAUUUUUUUAAUGCCAAGAGUGUCCCUCAACCAAAGUCAGAAAAUACUUGAUAUCAUCCUUAACGAAUACUACUAUCUAUCAAUGAUACGUGUUAAUCUUCUUUGUUCUUAGACAUAUAUAAUAGGCUACAUAAAAUAGUGAGCAUGUCCAGCUAUAGAGAUAUGAUAGAACUUACUUAUCAAAGAAUAUAUAAUAAUUCUGUUGAGAAGUAAGUCUCACGUCGCCUACCUCAUUGUCUCAAGAAUGGUUUAAAUACAUGUUGGACUACUCAUGUCAUUGUCAAUUGAUUUUGAGAUGGAACCUUAACAAGUUAUUAUUCUUUUGAUAUAUGUUUCUGUAUGUAGUACAAAGAAAAAUGACCUACCCAAAAUGGAGAUCAUGAUCUAUUGAUUUUCAAAUUGUUUAUCAUUGUUUGUGGAUGUGGGAAGAUUGAUUUGAUUUAAACCUGCAUGCUAUGUGGAUCGCCAUAGUCUCAGCUUUACUAAUUAUCAAUUGUGUUCUUUUACAUUUAUUUAUCAGAAAUUAAAUUAUGUUUUUUUUACAUAUUUUUUUCAUCUUUUUUAGUAAUAUGUUCCUUUGAGUGGAAGACAUGGAUGGAGAAUGAUAGUAAAUUGAAGCAUGUAGUAUAAUGUGACAAAUUAUUCUGUAGAAUAGAUUCUAUUUUAUUGCUAUCUUUUCCUUCUUUAUAAAAAGGAUGCCUUUCUGCUUUCUUUUGAAAAUCUUUAUAAAAAAAGAUGUCUUUCUUUAUUAUAUUUUAUCUUCUACAAAUAUAUCC